rnacentral:rRNA from 1 species
AUUGAACGCUGGCGGCAUGCCUUACACAUGCAAGUCGAACGGCAGCACGGGUGCUUGCACCUGGUGGCGAGUGGCGAACGGGUGGGUAAUAUAUCGGAACGUACCUUAUUGUGGGGGAUAACGCAGCGAAAGCUGUGCUAAUACCGCAUAAUCCCUAAGGGGGAAAGCGGGGGACCGUAAGGCCUCGCGCAAUUAGAGCGGCCGAUACCUGAUUAGCUAGUUGGUGAGGUAAAGGCUCACCAAGGCAACGAUCAGUAGCUGGUCUGAGAGGACGAUCAGCCACACUGGGACUGGGACACGGCCCAGACUCCUACGGGAGGCAGCAGUGGGGAAUUUUGGACAAUGGGGGCAACCCUGAUCCAGCAAUGCCGCGUGAGUGAAGAAGGCCUUCGGGUUGUAAAGCUCUUUUGUCAGGGAAGAAACAGCAGCUCUAACACAGUUUGCGAAUGACGGUACCUGAAGAAUAAGCACCGGCUAACUACGUGCCAGCAGCCGCCGUAA